AGCGGACGCUGGCGGCGUGCUUAACACAUGCAAGUCGAACGAGAACGGAAUAUAGCUUGCUAUAUUUGUCAGCUAAGUGGCGCACGGGUGAGUAAUGUAUAGAUAACCUGCCCUUAAGAAAGGAAUAACAGUUGGAAACGACUGCUAAUGCCCUAUAUGCCUUUAAUACAUAAGUAUGCAAGGGAAACGCUUUAGUGCUUAAGGAUGGGUCUGUAUGGUAUCAGCUUGUUGGUGAGGUAAUGGCUCACCAAGGCUAUGACGCCUAACUGGUUUGAGAGGAUGAUCAGCCAGACUGGAACGGUGACACGGUCCAGACUCCUACGGGAGGCAGCAGUGGGGAAUAUUGCACAAUGGACGAAAGUCUGAUGCAGCAACGCCGCGUGGAGGAUGACACAUUUCGGUGCGUAAACUCCUUUUAUAUAGGAAGAUAAUAACGGUACUAUAUGAAUAAGCACCGGCUAACUCCGUGCCAGCCGCCGCCGUAAUAC
rnacentral:rRNA from 1 species